AAGUAGCAAACACCAUGCCUGAAAUUUGUAAAGCUUGGUAAUUAUAUCUGAAGUUUUGUGCAUUUCACUUCCUUUUAACAUGAUGGAGUUGCAAAAUUUACCAUGGUUCUAUGGUCAACUAAAGGAGACUAAUUUCAUUUAUCAAAGGACAGGAGACUUUCCAUGCCUCAAGACUUUAAAAGCUGAAAUUGGAAAUAAGAUGCAGAGAACCAUUCAUGAAGUGUAAACAUGAAACUGAUAUUAAUAAUGUUCUUUAGAGCUAUAACUCUAGCCAUUAAGAUUACAUUACACUACUAUUGCUUGCUAAUUCUACUAUCAACAGUAAACAGUAAAAGAGAGAAGAUUCAGGACUAAGAGUGAUUUUUGCAGUUUGCUGUGGAUUAAAUUUGGAUGUAUUGAUGAAAUUAAUACAACAAUAACAGUUAAUUCUUUGAACAAGAAAAAGCUGUGCAAUGGUGCAAAACAAAAAACUUAUGAACCAUAAAAUGAUUAAAUCUG